AAAAAAGGUACAUGCGCAACCUAGCGUAUUACUCCUCUCCUCUCUGCCGUAGAGGCUUUGAGUGCUUGAGUCCCUUAACCCUUUGUGAACUUUAUAUCUUUUGCUUCGGCAGCGCGCUCCCCUCGGGGGGUUGGUAAGGCUGCCGGUAGCCCAUUUGAAACUAUUUUAUUUUAAAUCAUGAAGUCUGAUUACUGUUAAAUUUAAAACAAGUUA
rnacentral:misc_RNA from 1 species